rnacentral:rRNA from 1 species
GAUGAACGCUGGCGGCGUGCCUAAUACAUGCAAGUCGAGCGAACAGACGAGGAGCUUGCUCUUCUGACGUUAGCGGCGGACGGGUGAGUAACACGUGGAUAACCUACCUAUAAGACUGGGAUAACUUCGGGAAACCGGAGCUAAUACCGGAUAAUAUAUUGAACCGCAUGGUUCAAUAGUGAAAGACGGCUUUGCUGUCUCUUAUAGAUGGAUCCGCGCUGCAUUAGCUAGUUGGUAAGGUAACGGCUUACCAAGGCAACGAUGCGUAGCCGACCUGAGAGGGUGAUCGGCCACACUGGAACUGAGACACGGUCCAGACUCCUACGGGAGGCAGCAGUAGGGAAUCUUCGGCAAUGGGCGAAAGCCUGACGGAGCAACGCCGCGUGAGUGAUGAAGGUCUUCGGAUCGUAAAACUCUGUUAUUAGGGAAGAACAAAUGUGGAAGUAACUCUGCACGUCUUGACGGUACCUAAUCAGAAAGCAACGGCUAACUACGUG